rnacentral:rRNA from 1 species
GCAUAUCAUAAGCGGAGGAAAAGAAACUAACAAAGGAUUCCCCUAGUAACUGCGAGUGAAGCGGGAAGAGCUCAAAUUUAAAAUCUGGCAGUCUUCUGGCUGUCCGAGUUGUAAUCUGGAGAAGCGUUUUCUGUGUUAGACCGUGUACAAGUCUCCUGGAACGGAGCGUCAUAGAGGGUGAGAAUCCCGUCCAUGACACGGACUACUAAUACUUUGUGAUACGCUCUCGAAGAGUCGAGUUGUUUGGGAAUGCAGCUCAAAAUGGGUGGUAAAUUCCAUCUAAAGCUAAAUACAGGCGAGAGACCGAUAGCGAACAAGUACCGUGAGGGAAAGAUGAAAAGCACUUUGGAAAGAGAGUUAAACAGUACGUGAAAUUGUUGAAAGGGAAACGCUUGAAGUCAGUCGCGUUGUGCAGAACUCAGCCUUGCCUUGGCUUGGUGUACUUUCUGCACAACGGGUCAACAUCAAUUUUGGCCUAUGGAGAAAGGUGGGGGGAAUGUAGCGCUGUUUCGGCAGCGUGUUAUAGCCCUCUAUUGUAUACAUGGGCUGGGAUUGAGGAUCGCAGCACGCCCUUGUGGCCGGGGGUUCGCCCUACGUACCGUGCUUAGGAUGUUGGCAGAAUGGCUUUAAGCGACCCGUCUUGAAACACGGACCAAGGAGUCUAACAUGCUUGCGAGUGUUCGGGUGGAAAACCCUUGUGCGUAAUGAAAGUGAAAGUUGGGAACCUCCGCAAGGGGGUGCACCGACGCCCGGCCCUGACGUUCUCUGACGGUGCUGCGGUAGAGCAAGUAUGCUAGGACCCGAAAGAUGGUGAACUAUGCCUGAAUAGGGCGAAGCCAGAGGAAACUCUGGGUGGAGGCUCGUAGCGAUUCUGACGUGCAAAUCGAUCGUCAAAUUUGGGUAUAGGGGCGAAAGACUUAAAUCGAACCCAUCUAGUAGCUGGGUUCCUGCCGAAG